ensembl:lncRNA xylose isomerase-like
AUGCUGUCAAACGGGACCAAAAAAUACUAUUUUGACAAAAAUCUUAAACGGUUAGUGUUCUGCUGGUUACCAGAGACACCUUGUGGUAGAUGUGAAGAUUGCGUUUCUUAUUUUCGUUCAAGACAAAGUGGAACUUCAAGGGGAAAACUCUUAAAAGUGUUUGACAUGGCUAUGGAAACAGAAUUCUUUGCUGGUAUUCCGAAGAUUCCAUAUGUACCCAACACUGGAGCUCGAAACGUCUUGUGUUUCCAACACUACAAUGCAGAAGAAGUGCUGCUGGGCAGAAAUAUGGAGGACUGGCUGAGAUUCUCAGUCUGUUACUGGCACUCCUUCUGUGGGACUGGUGCUGACCCUUUUGGGUUCCAGACACUACACAGACCCUGGAAUGAGGGUGCUACCCCCAUGGAAUGUGCCAAGAAGAGACUCCAUGCAGCCUUUGAGUUCUUCACCAAACUUGGUGUGAAGUACUACACCUUUCAUGACAGGGACAUGUCCCCUGAGGGAAGCACUCUGGAGGAGUCCAACAGCAACCUGGAUGAGAUGACAGACCUGGCCCUGCAGCUGCAGAAUAGGACUGGGGUGAAGGUGCUGUGGGUCACCUGCAAUCUGUUUGCUCACUCAAGGUACAUGAAUGGAGCAGCGACCAACCCUGACUGCCAUGUUUUGGCCUAUGCUGGGGCCCAGGUGAAGAAAGGACUGGAUGUAGCUAAGAAGCUGGGAGCAGAGAACUUUGUCUUCUGGGGCGGCAGGGAGGGUUUUUACUCGAUACACAACACUGAUGUUGGCGCUGAACUGAAACAUAUGGCAAACUUUUUCAAAAUGGCUGUCAAGUACAAGGAGAAGAUAGGGUUGAAGUGCCAGUUCCUCAUUGAACCCAAGCCCAAAGAGCCAUGCAAACAUCAAUACGACUAUGAUGCAAUGAGUGUCAUAGGCUUCCUGAAGCAUUAUGAACUGGACAGCCACUUCAAGCUGAACAUCGAACCCAACCACACCACUCUAGCUGGGCAUUCCUAUGAACACGACGUCAUCAUGGCCUCUGUGUUUGGCAUGCUGGGCUCUGUGGACUCCAACACAGGUUCUCCUGACCUGGGCUGGGACACAGACCAGUUCCCCAUGGACAUCAGGAACACCACCAUGAUAAUGAAGACUGUGAUAGAGCAGGGUGGUCUGCAGCCGGGGGGUCUGAACUUCGAUGCUAAGGUGCGUAGGGAGUCCACGGACCUGGAGGACCUGUUCAUAGCCCACAUUGGAGCCAUGGACGCCUUCGCACGCGGCCUGAGGAACGCAGUCAGGAUCAUAGAGGAAGGAGUUAUCACCAGCAUGGUCAAAGAGCGCUACAUGAGCUUCAGCCAUGGUAUUGGUCAGAAAGUAGAGGAUGGCAGCACCUCAUUGGAGGAGCUGGAGGACUUUGUCAAGCAAAAUGGGGAGCCCAAAGUCACAUCAGGCAAACAGGAGAAAUAUGAAACAGUCUUUAACCACUACCUGUGAAGACAUGUGGUGAAGACUUGUUUGACCAUGAAACCCCUUGUCCUGAGUGGUAUGGUGUCCAUCCAGACCUUUCAUAAUAGUAUGCUUAGAGAGUGAUAUAGUUUCACGUGACAAACUAUUCUAACAGUUAUAGUAUAAAGAAUUAAUCAGUGGAGUCUUGUGAAUGUGGACUAUUUUAAUGCACACUCCUGUAAUGUUGACAUAUGAUUAGAUUGUGAGGUCAUCAACGGUAAAGACCAGAAAUAUGAAUUUAAUUUAGUAUACAUUACAUGGCAUUUCAAAUACUGAAUUAAUGAAGGAAUUAAUUAAUUGAUCAGUUUUUCAUACUGGAGUUGAAUAAAAAGAAGCAAACCCUAUUGUGUCAGUGCUUUGCAU